rnacentral:rRNA from 1 species
GCUCACGGCCACACCACGCCGAACGCGCCCGAUCUGGUCUGAUCUCGGAAGCCAAGCAGCGUCGGGCCUGGUUAGUACUUGGAUGGGUGACCGCCUGGGAACACCAGGUGCUGUAAGCA